rnacentral:rRNA from 1 species
CAGCCGCCGCGGUAAUACGUAGGUGGCAAGCGUUGUCCGGAAUUAUUGGGCGUAAAGCGCGCGCAGGUGGUUUAAUAAGUCUGAUGUGAAAGCCCACGGCUCAACCGUGGAGGGUCAUUGGAAACUGUUAAACUUGAGUGCAGGAGAGAAAAGUGGAAUUCCUAGUGUAGCGGUGAAAUGCGUAGAGAUUAGGAGGAACACCAGUGGCGAAGGCGGCUUUUUGGCCUGUAACUGACACUGAGGCGCGAAAGCGUGGGGAGCAAGCAGGAUUAGAUACCCCAGUAGUCCCUGUCUCUUAUAU